GAACGGCAGCGCGAGAGAGCUUGCUCUCUUGGCGGCGAGUGGCGCGACUGGUGAGUAAUAUAUCGGAACGUGCCCAGUAGCGGGGGAUAACUACUCGAAAGAGUGGCUAAUACCGCAUACGCCCUACGGGGGAAAGGGGGGGAUCGCAAGACCUCUCACUAUUGGAGCGGCCGAUAUCGGAUUAUCUAGUUGGUGGGGUAAAGGCUCACCAAGGCAACGAUCCGUAGCUGGUUUGAGAGGACGACCAGCCACACUGGGACUGAGACACGGCCCACACUCCUACGGGAGGCAGCAGUGGGGAAUUUUGGACAAUGGGGGAAACCCUGAUCCAGCCAUCCCGCGUGUAUGAUGAAGGCCUUCGGGUUGUAAAGUAUUUUUGGCAGAGAAGAAAAGGUAUCCCCUAAUACGGGAUACUGCUGACGGUAUCUGCAGAAUAAGCACCGGCUAACUACGUGCCAGCAGCCGCGGUAAUACGUAGGGUGCAAGCGUUAAUCGGAAUUACUGGGCGUAAAGCGUGUGUAGGCGGUUCGGAAAGAAAGAUGUGAAAUCCCAGGGCUCAACCUUGGAACUGCAUUUUUAACUGCCGAGCUAGAGUAUGUCAGAGGGGGGUAGAAUUCCACGUGUAGCAGUGAAAUGCGUAGAUAUGUGGAGGAAUACCGAUGGCGAAGGCAGCCCCCUGGGAUAAUACUGACGCUCAGACACGAAAGCGUGGGGAGCAAACAGGAUUAGAUACCCUGGUAGUCCACGCCCUAAACGAUGUCAACUAGCUGUU
rnacentral:rRNA from 1 species